rnacentral:rRNA from 1 species
GCCGCGGUAACUCCAGCUCCAAUAGCGUAUAUUAAAGUUGUUGCGGUUAAAAAGCUCGUAGUUGGAUUUCAGUUUUCGGCCGGGCUCCUUCCCGUUCAAAUACGGGCGGUGAAGGGGCCUUUGGAUCGUCGGUGUCAAAGCCGCGGUCUUUUAACGGUCGGACUAUACCACCGGAGCGGGAUUGGUGGUGGCUGUGCCUUUCUCUUUUCGGAGGGGGGGUGGUGUCCACGGUCGCCCGCAUUUUACUGACUGGGGUGCCUUUAACCGGGUGUCCCAGCCAGCCGGUUACGUUUACUUUGAACAAAUUAGAGUGCUCAAAGCAGGUGCAUUUUCGCCUGAAUAUCACAGCAUGGAAUGAUGGAAUAGGACCUCGGUCUUAUUUUGUUGGUUUUUCUAGACCCGAGGUAAUGGUUAAUAGA